rnacentral:rRNA from 1 species
UACGGGGGGAGCAAGGCGUUGUUCGGAUUUACUGGGCGUAAAGGGCGCGUAGGCGGUCAGCACAAGUCAGUUGUGAAAUCUCCGGGCUUAACCCGGAAAGGUCAACUGAUACUGUGCGACUAGAGUGCGGAAGGGGCAACUGGAAUUCUCGGUGUAGCGGUGAAAUGCGUAGAUAUCGAGAGGAACACCUGCGGCGAAGGCGGGUUGCUGGGCCGACACUGACGCUGAUGCGCGAAAGCCAGGGGAGCGAACGGG